UGGGGAAUAUUUCACAAUGGGGGAAACCCUGAUGCAGCGACGCCGCGUGAACGAAGAAGGUAUUCGUAUCGUAAAGUUCUGUCCUAUGGGAAGAUAAUGACAGUACCAUAGAAGAAAGCUCCGGCUAAAUACGUGCCAGCAGCCGCGGUAAUACGUAUGGAGCGAGCGUUGUCCGGAAAUAUUGGGCGUAAAGGGUACGCAGGCGGUUUAAUAAGUCGAAUGUUAAAGAUCGGGGCUCAACCCCGUAAAGCAUUGGAAACUGAUAAACUUGAGUAGUGGAGAGGAAAGUGGAAUUCCUAGUAUAGUGGUGAAAUACGUAGAUAUUAGGAGGAAUACCAGUAGCGAAGGCGACUUUCUGGACACAAACUGACGCUGAGGUACGAAAGAGUGGGGAGCAAACAGG
rnacentral:rRNA from 1 species